rnacentral:rRNA from 1 species
CCACGAUAGGUCACGAUUUCUGGAAUGGAUCAUGGCUUAAAUCUACAUGGCCCCUGGAUUGGACUGCGGCCGAUCAGGCUGUUGGUGAGGUAAUGGCCCACCAAACCUAUAACCGGUACGGGCUCUGAGAGGAGAAGCCCGGAGAUGGGCACUGAGACAAGGGCCCAGGCCCUAUGGGGCGCAGCAGGCGCGAAACCUCUGCAAUAGGCGAAAGCCUGACAGGGUUACUCUGAGUGAUUUCCGCUAAGGGGAUCUUUUGGCACCUCUAAAAAUGGUGCAGAAUAAGGGGUGGGCAAGUCUGGUGUCAGCCGCCGCGGUAAUACCAGCACCCCGAGUGGUCGGGACGAUUAUUGGGCCUAAAGCAUCCGUAGCUGGUUCUGCAAGUCUUCCGUUAAAUCCAGCCGCUCAACGGAUGGGCCGCGGAGGAUACUACAGGACUAGGAGGCGGGAGAGGCAAGCGGUACUCAGUGGGUAGGGGUAAAAUCCUUUGAUCCAUUGAAGACCACCAGUGGCGAAGGCGGCUUGCCAGAACGCGCUCGACGGUGAGGGAUGAAAGCUGGGGGAGCAAACCGGAUUAGAUACCCGGGUAGUCCCAGCU